rnacentral:tRNA from 1 species
GGGCAGAUUAGUGCAAUGAAUUUAAGCUUCAUAUAUAAAUAUAAUUAUUUUUCUAGAAA